rnacentral:lncRNA from 1 species
GAUUUUGAUUUUUUUUUUGUGAUGUUAAUUUUCUUCCAAUUGAUGGGUUCAAUUUUUUUAGGGAUUUUGGGUUCAAUGAUUUUUUUAUUUUCUUUUGGUUUUAUUAUUUUCGUUAAUAAGUAAUUUAAUGAAAAAUUAAAAUUUGAGAUUUGAAGACGACUUUAUUUGCAGAAAAAUUGAAGUUUCAAAUGUGAAUGAUAAUACAAUAUAUGAUUUUAGUGAAUCUAAC